rnacentral:rRNA from 1 species
AGUGAACGCUGGCGGUAGGCCUAACACAUGCAAGUCGAACGGCAGCACAGGAGAGCUUGCUCUCUGGGUGGCGAGUGGCGGACGGGUGAGGAAUACAUCGGAAUCUACUCUGUCGUGGGGGAUAACGUAGGGAAACUUACGCUAAUACCGCAUACGACCUACGGGUGAAAGCAGGGGAUCUUCGGACCUUGCGCGAUCGAAUGAGCCGAUGUCGGGUUAGCUAGUUGGCGGGGUAAAGGCCCACCAAGGCGACGAUCCGUAGCUGGUUUGAGAGUAUGAUCCGCCACACUGGAACUGAGACACGGUCCAGACUCCUACGGGAGGCAGCAGUGGGGAAUAUUGGACAAUGGGCGCAAGCCUGAUCCAGCCAUACCGCGUGGGUGAAGAAGGCCUUCGGGUUGUAAAGCCCUUUUGUUGGGAAAGAAAUCCAGCUGGCUAAUACCCGGUUGGGAUGACGGUACCCAAAGAAUAAGCACCGGCUAACUUCGUGCCAGCCGCCGCGGUAA